GUGUUGAUAAGUCGUUAUCCGAAGGCUAUUUUUUUCUUGUUUUUUUUUCUGUAGACUUAUCUUUCAUUUUUUAUUACCAUGCAUUAUCAAGCUUGGUAACUCUCAAUUGUUUCUUAGUAACUCAAUGUACGAUGCUGUCCCCAUACUGAACCUUUUGACCUUGUUUGUUUACAAUCAAAUUUCAAUGGCGUCAAAAUCACGUGAUGUCAAUUCGUUCUACUAAAUCAAAUUGCUCUACGGUCAAUUAGGGAAAUUUUCAGUCUACAGCAAUUACGUUAUUUCUUUGUGGGAUAUUGCUUUAAAAUAGUUUGCAAUAAUUUUGGGUUUUAUUCAAC
rnacentral:lncRNA from 1 species